UUACAGGCGAAGGCGGUGUUUUAAAUCACUUCCUCCCUCCUAAAUCACUUCCUCCCUCCCAAAUAAUGUAAACAUCACCAGGAGAAAAGGUAGCUGUGGAACUGAAGCCCCAUUCAACAGCCCAGGGUGGGACGGGGGAAAACCCAGGCCACUGGUUUUCCUUCCCUUCUACAGGCAUCACUUUACUCUUGCUCCUUGGAGGGACCACUCUCACUGUUAACCACCAUUCUUGGAUUCUGCACUAAUUCAGCACAAGUUACAAGACAAUUUAGAAGCCUCCAAAUUCUACCUCUUACGACUUGACUGGAAGCUAAUGAGACCUACCUGCUUGAUCUCUGCUUCCAAGGUACCCUCCAACACACGACAGCCUUUAGCACGUGGAGCAUCGUUCUCAUGAUCGGAAAGGAGUUCCGAGAAGCCGGAGAGAACCUGGACUUGCUCCAAACCUUGGCCUUUUUUCAUCUCUCCCACCUCUGUUUGUACAGCGUGGAAAGAAUGGCUUUUUCGGGCCACCUCCCAGUUUCUGCAGCUCUCUGCUCCGGCUGCCUCCCAUCUCAGCUAAGCCAGGGGGUGCUUCCUUUGCACAGCUGAGCCUGCUGUUCCAACUGUAAAUGCAUUUUUCCAGGAAAGAGACAGGUGACGCUCUCAGUCAACAGGCAGGAUGCGUUUACCAGUCCAAAUAGAUCUUUGCAAGUCAUUCUGCCUGCCGAGGAGGGACACAGAGAGUGAAAAGAAAUGAAGAGGGCAAUCUUUUCUGUGCCUCUGGAACUGCAAUUCUUUAAGGAGAUAAAACUCUUCCUGGCCCUUUCUCUCUAAUUAUGUGAAGCUAAAAUGAUGUGAUACUGAAGCUGAGGCUCCAGUACUUGGACCACCUGAUGUGAAGAGCUGACUCAUUGGAACAGACUCUGAUGCUGGGAAAGAGUGAGGGCAGGAGGAGAAGGGCAUGAACAGAGGAUGAGGUUGUUGGAUGGCAUCACAGAUUUGAUGGACAUGAGUUUGAGCAAGCUCCGGGAGUUGGUGAUGGACAGGGAGGCCUGGUGUGCUGCAGUCCAUGGGGUCGCAAAGAGUCAGACGUGACUGAGCAACUGAACAGCAACAACAGCAACAUCCUAACCUUGGCACUGCAAGUCCCAUAUGUCAGGAAUCCACUCAGUCCCAGGCAAACCAGAAUGGUUGGCUAUCCUGAGUCAAAAUAUCAUCCUUUACCAAAAACUUUCUUCAGCAGCUCUCUCUAAUUCGGGCUUUUAAAAACUCAACCACAAUACCGCAGACAGAAUUAACAAAUGUUCCUAAGUAUCAUUUCAUAGCAGCCAUGUUCAUUUUCUUUUUUACUUCCUGCAGAAAGAGAAAGUGUCAGUAGCUAAUGUGAGUCAGGACUCCUCUGACUGAUAUGUCAGCUAAAAGUUCUUUCACUUCCCCAGCAUUUUUUCUCCUGUGUCAUUUGUAUCAUGAAGAACUCGAGUCAAUGUGCCUGUAAGAUUCCCCACAAUCUAGGUAUUACAUGUUAUGUUCUUGUGGUGAAGGGAGUCUGUGAAGGACAGGGAAGCCUGGUGUGCUUCAGUCCACGGGGUCACAAAGAGUCGGACAGGACUGAGCGAAUGAACAACAUCAUGUGAGGCUAAGGGUGCCCCUCUAUGGAAACCCACCCCCUCCCCAAGGACACAUCUGGGGCGGGCCCAGUCUGCCAGGGCCUCCAGCCUUGUCGAAUUCCACCACCUGGGAGGUGUCCCCCCCGCUCCCCCCGCCUUGCAACCUGAACCCAGUUCUUGUCACAAGAUUUUUAAAUGAACUGGACGCUGGAAGACCAAGGUC
ensembl:lincRNA